AUCUUCAUAAAAAAAUCCAGUUUUUUUUUUUUACGUCCAAUUUUUUUCCUUACAAAAAUUCAUCAUUUCAACUUCAUAAAAAAUCAUAUAAUCAAAUCCUUAAAUCUGGAAUAAACACCACCACCAUCAUGUAACUCACAAUCAAACUCAUUUAUCAAAUUCAUGAAAAUCUUUAGAAACAUUUUCCUUCUUCAUCGAACUCUGCACAUAAAGCAACACAAGAAACAAUUCAAAUCACCACAAGCAACACAACAAAACAACAUCACAACAAUCAUCAAAUUAAAACUCAUAUAACAAAUCUCAUCUUCAUCAACACAAAGCCAAAAAACCCUUAAUUUUAAUCUGUUUUUUAGGAGAGUUAUGAGAAGAAGAAUGGAGGUCAUCAAAUCAAUAUGAUGAUGCUUUUGGGUUUUCUAGGUUUCAGGGAAGGAAAAUGGGUUCUAUGAAAAGGGAAGAUAGGUUCAAUGAAGAAUAAUGGAAGAAGGCUUCAUAAGGGUCGAUUGAAGAAUGAGAAAAGGGUUUAAAUUUGACAUACAUAUUGAGAUGGUAUUGAUCAAAAACGUUUUUGAGUGAUACCCAUUUGAGAAUACAUGGUUAUGAACGCGUUUACCUUCUCUAACAGCUUUAUGUGCCAAACAACACUUGAUGAUGAUGGGUUCCUGAUGAGUAUAUGGUUCAAUUGAGAAAAGGGUUAGUGAGGUUUGUGAGUUUGUGAGGUUAGGUUCAAUUCAAUGUCAAGAAUGCUUUAGAUUUUUUUUAUUUGGGAACAACAAUUUCUUCAUCACCAUCAUAUCUUUUAGGGGUGUUUGGUGUCUGCUAUUGCUGGAUUUUUCUAUUGAUGUUUUUUUUUUCUUCCUGGGUAUGAAGUAUGGAGAUCAAGAGAGAAGAGUGUGAAGAUUGUUGGUACACUUCAAUUAUCACAUGUUGUAAGUCCAUGGUAUGUCAUGUGUGUUUUGUAAAUCCAGCCGUUGAUCAACAAUUUUAAAUGACACGCGGAAAUGAGUUAACAGAUUUUGCAAAAUACUAACGGAGA
rnacentral:lncRNA from 1 species